GGUCGCAUUAACUAUAGUGUAGCGGUCAGCACAUCAGAUUAUGGGAUGCCCCACGUCAAUAAAUAACUACUACAUGGUGAUUGCAGGAAGAUAAUUCUGAAGACCGUUCGAUUCCCAGUACGAUCU